rnacentral:lncRNA from 10 species
GCCAGGGGGUGUGGGAGGGGUGGCAUUGGCAGUUCAAGACUGUCUUUCCUAUCCUCUUCAGUGCCUCUUUCAAUGAUAUGAAGUUCAAGCCAGGCUCCAAGCUUGAUAUAGAAGACUAUCAUAUGAACCAGAAAGGGUAACUGAAACCAAAGAAAUGACUCCAGUAUCAAGCUAAAGACAUGCCUUAAAGGAUGAGGAGGAGCAGAAAUCUUACCAGCAAGGCAAGAAAGAAGCCGUACGUGAACAGCCUCUGCUUUAGGCCCAGAAGGAAAAGAAGCUUACAGGAGACAAUCAGUCUUACACUCUUCCAUGGUCACAAACAAGAGGUCCCUGGAUCUACAGUAUCUAGGCCCACAUGCAAUAUGACUUUGCAACUCAUCCCAUCAGAGGAUGGAAACUAUUUCUUCACCCCCUUGAACCUGGGCUGGCUUUGUAAUUUGUUUUGGCCAAUAGAAUGUGGUGGAAGUGAUGGUGUUACCAGAAAGAGUUCCCAAUCCAGACUCGUGCGAGAAAGAAUUUGAGAAAUGAAAGAACCAGAGCAUUAUAGCAGAACGAAUCCUGGAAUGGGAAUGGAAUGCCUGGAUUUGUGGCACAGUUGGGAAGCGUCCUGGCCAUGCCAUGUUAAAGCUGUCUCCAAGGCAGUGAUUCUUACCCUUGGCUACACAUUGGAGUCAUUUGGGAAGCUAGAAAAAAAAAAUGCCCAGGACCUGGGCAAGACGGCUGAAUAAGAACAGCUCUGGUCUGCAGUUCCUAGCAAGAUCAACGCAGAAGGGAAGCUGGCAGCCUGGGCUCUUGGAGAUUGUAUCUGGUGCCGGAGAGGACUGGCUCCCACACUCAGUGAGGGAGGAAUUUUACUGACCCAGCAUCCAGAUGAACUUUGGUGAGGAGAGGAGGACAUAAGAGCCUGGUGGUUGAUGAUGGAAGAGAUGAAACUGUGAAGAGACCGAAGAAGCUAAUCUAUCAAUAGUUAAGAUUCCAUUUCUAAAAGAUCUUACUUUGAGUCUACCUAUGCCUGGGAUGUCAAGAGGUAU